GUACCCCGAGGAAAAGAAAUCAACCGAGAUUCCGAAAGUAGCGGCGAGCGAAAUUGGACUAGCCCUUAAGCUUUACACGUGUUAGACGAACGGUCUGGAAAGUCCGACGAUACAGGGUGAUAGUCCCGUAGUUGACGACGUGUGUUCAGUGAAAUCGAGUAGGGCGGGACACGUGAUAUCCUGUCUGAAUAUGGGGGGACCAUCCUCCAAGGCUAAAUACUACUGACUGACCGAUAGUGAACCAGUACCGUGAGGGAAAGGCGAAAAGAACCCCUGUGAGGGGAGUGAAAUAGAACCUGAAACCGUGUACGUACAAGCAGUAGGAGCAGGCUUUGUCCUGUGACUGCGUACCUUUUGUAUAAUGGGUCAGCGACUUAUAUUCAGUGGCAAGGUUAACCAUCUAGGGGAGCCGUAGGGAAACCGAGUCUUAACUGGGCGUUCAGUCUCUGGAUAUAGACCCGAAACCAGGUGAUCUAGCCAUGGGCAGGUUGAAGGUUGAGUAACAUCAACUGGAGGACCGAACCGACUAAUGUUGAAAAAUUAGCGGAUGACUUGUGGCUAGGGGUGAAAGGCCAAUCAAACCUGGAGAUAGCUGGUUCUCCCCGAAAGCUAUUUAGGUAGCGCCUCGGACGAAUACUACUGGGGGUAGAGCACUGUUAAGGCUAGGGGGUCAUCCCGACUUACCAACCCUUUGCAAACUCCGAAUACCAGUAAGUACUAUCCGGGAGACACACGGCGGGUGCUAACGUCCGUCGUGGAGAGGGAAACAACCCAGACCGCCAGCUAAGGUCCCAAAUUACUACUAAGUGGGAAACGAUGUGGGAAGGCUCAGACAGCCAGGAUGUUGGCUUAGAAGCAGCCAUCAUUUAAAGAAAGCGUAAUAGCUCACUGGUCGAGUCGGCCUGCGCGGAAGAUGUAACGGGGCUAAGUAGUAAACCGAAGCUGCGGCAAUGUGCUUUUGCACAUUGGGUAGGGGAGCGUUCUGUAAGCGGUUGAAGGUGUGUGGUAACGCAUGCUGGACGUAUCAGAAGUGCGAAUGCUGACAUGAGUAACGAUAAAGGGGGUGAAAAACCUCCUCGCCGGAAGACCAAGGGUUCCUGUCCAACGUUAAUCGGGGCAGGGUAAGUCGACCCCUAAGGCGAGGCCGAAAGGCGUAGUCGAUGGGAAACGGGUUAAUAUUCCCGUACUUCUUACAAUUGCGAUGGGGGGACGGAGAAGGCUAGGUGGGCCUGGCGACGGUUGUCCAGGUUCAAGUGCGUAGGCUUAAGAGUUAGGUAAAUCCGGCUCUUUUUAAGGCUGAGACACGACGUCGAGCAUCUACGGAGGUGAAGUCAUUGAUGCCAUGCUUCCAGGAAAAGCCUCUAAGCUUCAGAUUGUAAGGAAUCGUACCCCAAACCGACACAGGUGGUCGGGUAGAGAAUACCAAGGCGCUUGAGAGAACUCGGGUGAAGGAACUAGGCAAAAUGGUACCGUAACUUCGGGAGAAGGUACGCUCUCGACGGUGAAGUCCCUCGCGGAUGGAGCUAUUGAGAGUCGCAGAUACCAGGUGGCUGCAACUGUUUAUUAAAAACACAGCACUGUGCAAAAUCGUAAGAUGACGUAUACGGUGUGACGCCUGCCCGGUGCCGGAAGGUUAAUUGAUGGGGUUAGACUUCGGUCGAAGCUCUUGAUCGAAGCCCCGGUAAACGGCGGCCGUAACUAUAACGGUCCUAAGGUAGCGAAAUUCCUUGUCGGGUAAGUUCCGACCUGCACGAAUGGCGUAAUGAUGGCCACGCUGUCUCCACCCGAGACUCAGUGAAAUUGAAAUCGCUGUGAAGAUGCAGUGUACCCGCGGCUAGACGGAAAGACCCCGUGAACCUUUACUACAGCUUGGCACUGAACAUUGACCCUACAUGUGUAGGAUAGGUGGGAGGCUUUGAAGCACGUACGCCAGUAUGUGUGGAGCCGUCCUUGAAAUACCACCCUUGUAGUGUUGAUGUUCUAACGUCGACCCCUUAUCGGGGUUGCGGACAGUGCCUGGUGGGUAGUUUGACUGGGGCGGUCUCCUCCCAAAGAGUAACGGAGGAGCACGAAGGUGGGCUAAUCACGGUUGGACAUCGUGAGGUUAGUGCAAUGGCAUAAGCCCGCUUGACUGCGAGAAUGACAAUUCGAGCAGGUGCGAAAGCAGGUCAUAGUGAUCCGGUGGUUCUGAAUGGAAGGGCCAUCGCUCAACGGAUAAAAGGUACUCCGGGGAUAACAGGCUGAUACCGCCCAAGAGUUCAUAUCGACGGCGGUGUUUGGCACCUCGAUGUCGGCUCAUCACAUCCUGGGGCUGAAGUCGGUCCCAAGGGUAUGGCUGUUCGCCAUUUAAAGUGGUACGCGAGCUGGGUUUAGAACGUCGUGAGACAGUUCGGUCCCUAUCUGCCGUGGGCGUUGGAAGAUUGAAGGGGGCUGCUCCUAGUACGAGAGGACCGGAGUGGACGAACCUCUGGUGUUCGGGUUGUGUCGCCAGACGCAUUGCCCGGUAGCUAAGUUCGGAAUCGAUAACCGCUGAAAGCAUCUAAGCGGGAAGCGAGCCCUGAGAUGAGUCUUCCCUGAUACUUUAAGUAUCCUAAAGGGUUGUCGGAGACUACGACGUUGAUAGGUCAGGUGUGUAAGUGCUGUGAGGCAUUGAGCUAACUGAUACUAAUUGCCCGUGAGGCUUAACCAUACAACACCUAAGGGGUUU
rnacentral:rRNA from 1 species